CUGUGCUGUUCAGACUGCAGCUUCUUUUCCAGGAUCUUCAUCCAAACAAGAGUUCUGAGCUCAUUUCUGAUUGUGAGAAAUCAACAUGAAGCUCUGCUCUACUGUAGCUGUUCUGCUUAUAGCAGCUUGUCUGUUUCUGCCCUCCAUACAGGCAACAUCUGGGCUGUGCCCAAAAAAUAGGGCCGAUUAUGGAGAUGAGUGUAACAAUGACGAUGACUGCCCCGAAGGACAAAAAUGCUGUUACCGGUACUUUGGAACUGAAAAUGACUGGCGCUGCGUUGACCCUAUUUUCAUUUAGCACAAACUUUGUGGAAAACAUCUGUUCAUUCCUCACUGUUGUGAUGAUGAUGGUGAAUGAAGCUGCAAGAAGAAGUGCCCUCCAAACAGAUGUGAAAACACCUGUAAACAAAAAAACACCAACUGAGCUGCAUCAUACAGUCCAGUGUGCUCUUCUUUGGUUUCUUUAAUAAAGUCACUGAUAAAAAUUGUG